ACUCAGGGACCGGAGCAGCCCUCAACUCACUCUUCAGCUUCCCUGCUGUGUUGCCGCCCAGCCGCUCCAUCAUGCUUUUUAUGUUCCUAGAUUCAAAAGUAUCCUAAGGCAACCUUCUUAUGCCAAGACACCUACAUAGCUUCCUAAAAAUCUCAGAGCAACAAGCACUCAUUCUUCUGUCAAUGCAUUUGAAAGAGUACUAGUUUUUUUUUUUUCUUUCUUUCUCAUCCUCGCCACUGCAGUCCUUCAGUGCUGACCAGAUUGCUGAAUUCAAGGAGGCAUUUCUCCUGUUUGACAGAACAGGUGAUUCCAAGAUCACCUUAAGCCAGGUCGGUGAUGUCCUUCGAGCUCUGGGCACAAAUCCCACCAAUGCAGAGGUCAGGAAAGUUCUGGGAAACCCCAGCAAUGAAGAGCUGAAUGCCAAGAAAAUUGAGUUUGAACAAUUUCUGCCUAUGAUGCAAGCCAUUUCCAACAACAAGGACCAGGGCACCUACGAAGACUUUGUUGAGGGUCUGCGUGUCUUUGACAAGGAAGGCAAUGGCACAGUCAUGGGUGCCGAACUCCGCCAUGUUCUAGCCACCCUGGGUGAAAAGAUGAAAGAGGAAGAAGUGGAAGCCCUGAUGGCAGGUCAAGAAGACUCCAAUGGCUGCAUCAACUACGAAGCUUUUGUCAAGCACAUCAUGUCUAUCUGAAUGGAGCUCUCAAG
rnacentral:sRNA from 1 species